GACGAACGCUGGCGGCGUGCUUAACACAUGCAAGUCGAACGGAAAGGCCCUGCUUGCAGGGUACUCGAGUGGCGAACGGGUGAGUAACACGUGGGUGAUCUGCCCUGCACUUCGGGAUAAGCUUGGGAAACUGGGUCUAAUACCGGAUAGGAACCAUCUUUAGUGUGGUGGUUGGAAAGUUUUUUCGGUGUAGGAUGAGCUCGCGGCCUAUCAGCUUGUUGGUGGGGUAAUGGCCUACCAAGGCGGCGACGGGUAGCCGGCCUGAGAGGGUGUACGGCCACAUUGGGACUGAGAUACGGCCCAGACUCCUACGGGAGGCAGCAGUGGGGAAUAUUGCACAAUGGGCGCAAGCCUGAUGCAGCGACGCCGCGUGGGGGAUGAAGGCCUUCGGGUUGUAAACUCCUUUCGCUAGGGACGAAGCUUUGUUGUGACAGUACCUAGAUAAGAAGCACCGGCUAACUACGUG
rnacentral:rRNA from 1 species